rnacentral:rRNA from 1 species
CCUACGUGAGGCAGCAGUGAGGAAUAUUGGUCAAUGGGCGCUAGCCUGAACCAGCCAAGUAGCGUGAAGGAUGACUGCCCUAUGGGUUGUAAACUUCUUUUAUAAAGGAAUAAAACGAGGCACGUGUGCCUUUUUGCAUGUCCUUUAUGAAUAAGGAUCGGCUAACUCCGUGCCAGCAGCCGCGGUAAUACGGAGGAUCCGAGCGUUAUCCGGAUUUAUUGGGUUUAAAGGGAGCGUAGAUGGGUUGUUAAGUCAGUUGUGAAAGUUUGCGGCUCAACCGUAAAAUUGCAAUUGAUACUGGCAGUCGUGAGUACAGUUGAGGUAAGCGGAAUUCGUGGUGGAGCGGUGAAAUGCUUAGAUAUCACGAAGAACCCCGAUUGCGAAGGCAGCUUACUAAACUGUGACUGACAUUGAUGCUCGAAAGUGUGGGUAGCAAACAGGAUUAGAGACCCCGGUAGUC